rnacentral:rRNA from 1 species
AUUGAACGCUGGCGGCAGGCUUAACACAUGCAAGUCGAACGAGUGGCGGACGGGUGAGUAAUGUCUGGGAAACUGCCUGAUGGAGGGGGAUAACUACUGGAAACGGUAGCUAAUACCGCCUACCAUCGGAUGUGCCCAGAUGGGAUUAGCUAGUAGGUGGGUUAACGGCUCACCUAGGCGUCGAUCCCUAGCUGGUCUUCGAGGAUGACCAGCAGCACGGGAACUGCGACACGGUCCAGACUCCUACGGGAGGCAGCAGUGGGGAAUAUGGCACAAUGGGAGCAAGCCUGAUGCAGCCAUGCCGCGUGUAUGAAGAAGGCCUUCGGGUUGUAAAGUACUUUCAGCGGGGAGGCGUUACCCGCAGAGGAAGCACCGGCUAACUCCGUGCCAGCAGCCGCGGUAAUAC